GUAGGUGAACCUGCGGAAGGAUCAUUAUCGAACGAACGUUAGAGUCGGUUGUAGCUGGCCCUCCGGGGCAUGUGCACGCCUUCUCUUUCAUCCACACACACCUGUGCACUCGUGAGACGGAAGCCAAAGCCGCCGCCCCUUAGGGGGUGGGGGGAGGAGGAGUCUGUCUGCUCUACAUAAACUCACAUGUCUGAACCGAAUGUAAUCGACGUAAACACGUCUUUGAACUAAGUUUCAACAACGGAUCUCUUGGCUCUC
rnacentral:misc_RNA from 1 species